ACAGCAGUCGCCGCGGGAAAACGGAGGGUGCAAGCGUUAAUCGGAAUUACUGGGCGUAAAGCGCACGCAGGCGGUCUGUCAAGUCAGAUGUGAAAUCCCCGGGCUUAACCUGGGAACUGCAUUUGAAACUGGCAGGCUAGAGUCUUGUAGAGGGGGGUAGAAUUCCAGGUGUAGCGGUGAAAUGCGUAGAGAUCUGGAGGAAUACCGGUGGCGAAGGCGGCCCCCUGGACAAAGACUGACGCUCAGGUGCGAAAGCGUGGGGAGCAAACAGGAUUAGAGACCCCGGUAGUCCCUGUCUCUUAUAC
rnacentral:rRNA from 1 species